rnacentral:lncRNA from 1 species
UAUAUAUAUAUAUAUAUAUAAGAGGAAAGUACACAGAGUACUUUCUGUUCUUUUAGGGCAUGCAUACAUUAUUAAGUUAUAUAUAUUCCCUUAUCUAUAGGGCACGGAAAACAAAAGAACAAAUGAUUAUUAAUUAAUACCAACCAAACAUGGUGUAGUGAUCACCUAGCAGCUGCUCGUGCUUAUCUCACUCUAAUCUUGUACUGAGCUCCAGUAGCUUGGUCUAUCUCCUUAUAGAAAGUGAUAGUUGUACCAGCUGCUAGAUUCCAAUGACCAGCAAAUUCAAGCCAGCCCUUCUUAAACACAGGCUUUGGAAGCUGCUGGUUUCCACUUUUGGUGAAGCAAACAAAAUUCCAAGGAUUCCCUUGCAUAUCCGCCACCAGAAUCUCCAUCCUCUGCCCAGUAAUUUGGAGUUCUGCUAGAACAUCAUCACAACGAUCAUGAGGUAUCUCCAGACCUUUGUUAAUAUCAACGCUGGUGAGUAUCUUUGAGAAGAUCUCCAUAGCUAAUUUAGAGAAUGUUUAGCUUUGAUGAGAAGAGCAUGUUAAGUUUAUGGGGACCUAUUUAUAGACAACAUGUAUAUGUGAGAUUAAUUAAAUCAUAAUUUAUUUUUUAAUAUGCAUUAAAUGAAACCAGCGACCAUGCUGUUUCCAGAAAAAAAACCUUUCUAAGAUAUUCUUUUGAUUCUUAGCGUCGCCCCAUGUGGGGGGAGAACAACAAUAAAUAAUGAAUGAAAAAGACGAAAAAUUGAAAAAUAAAUUGAGAAAAAAAAAAACUGAGAGAGAGAAGAACAUGGAUCAUUGAGAAUUAUAGCAUCAACAUCAAUCUUUUUAAACAAUUUUCUCCCUUUGUCUUUUCUUUUUCUCAUUGACCUUAAGACGCAGACUCUGCUGAUAGUUCUAUAAUUUUAGUGAGAGAAUAAUUCUUUUUAAGAAUAUUUUUAAUUGAAAAAUAGAUACACAGUUAAAUUUUAACUACUAAGAUUAUUCAUUAUUUCUUUAACAUGAAAUUGUGAUAUUUAAAGUAAAAAAAAAAAUUAUUGCAAUUUUAUUAUUAUAUAUAAAAUUAGAAGUGUUAAAUAGCUAACGAAAAUUUAUUUAAGAGUAAAUCAAUUAUAAAACAGCAAACCCAGUAAGAGAUUUCAGCUUGCAGAUGCUUUCUGGGAGACAUGGCAGUUUUGAGCAUCCAUUGAUUGGAAAUUGUUUAAGGCAUGAUCAACUAGCCAAUGCUACUUGGAAUGCUCACAUGUCUUUAAUAUCCAUUCAGAUCAAGUCAUUACAAGGACAAAUUAUAUUGUUGUUUGCCUACGUGGAAUGAAAAACGAAUCAAAGUUAGAUAAAUAAAUAAGUGAAAUCUAAAAAUCUACAAACUAUCUAGCAGUUAACUUCUAAACAAUAAUGACUAUUUGAUGGCGGCUGGUGGAUAUAUGGACUCAGAUUGACAGAAGGGCUGGUGGGGACACUUGUAUUCAUUUUAUUUGGUCCCACCUGCCCACGCCUAAGUGGGUAAAAUGAGUCCCCACCAAAUUAAUCGCUUCCCAAUUUCCUUCUGUCGUGCAUAGACCAUCAGCUGUAAAUCUUGAACGUCCACUCACAAAUAGCGCAUUCGAUAAGAUGAAUUCAAAAUCAAAUUAAAUUAAAUAAAUUAAAAUUUAAAAUUUUAAUAUUUAUAAAAAUUAAAUUAAAUUAAAUUAAAUUGAAUUAAUUCAGUUUGAUUUAAUUAAUUAAAAUUUUUUAAUAAUUUUUUUAUUUUUUUAUAAUUUAUUUUUAAUAUUUUAAAAUUUAAUUAAAAUAUUUUUAAUUUUAAUAUAAUUUAAUUUCUAUAUUAUUAAAAAUAAUAUAUUAUUAUUAUUAAUCGCUUCAAUUCUAUUUUUUUAAUAAAAUUGAACUGAAUUAAAAUAAUUAAAAUUUUUAAAAUUAAAAAUCAAAUCGAACUGAAAUAAAUAAAAACCCAAACUGAAUUUUUAAAUUAAUUCGAUUCGAUUAAUUUUUUCAAUUUCAACUGAAUACGCACUCCUAUCUAAAAAUCAUAACCUAAUAUUAUUUCAUGAGAUUAUUAUUUAUUUAUUUAUUCUUAAUUUUGCAAUUAUUUAUCAGAAGAGAGAAAUAUAUAUAUUAUAAAAUUAAGAGAGAAUUAUAAAUAAUUGUGUAGAUCCUACAAAUACAAUGGAUAGAAGAACCUAAAUAAGUCAUAGAAGCAAAAGCACUGGACCAAAUAGUUAUUUUUUAUGAUAUUUUCAUUUUUACAUUUAUAAGAUUUAUUUGUUUGCAAAAAAGAUAACUUGUAUUUAAAAAUUGUUUUUCAUAAAAAAAAAUUAUGAAAAAUAUUUUCUAAUGAAAAUAUAUUCAAAAAAGUAACUUAUUUGCUCAUAUUGAAUUUAUGCAUUUUUAAUGCUAUAUAAUUUAUUAAAACAACACAAUCCACCGAUAAAAUUAAGAACCUGAUUAUUCAUAAACCAAAUUUCAUCAACAUAUAUAAUCACCCAAGAAGGAUAAGUUGACAUUUCAAUGGAUGCAUGGAGUUUAAAAGUUUAAGAAGAAAAUAAAAGAGGUACAAACUAAUCUGGUGGUAAAUGAAUAUGAGCAAAUCUGAGAGAGGUAUCAGAUUCUACUCUCUAAUCUCCUAUCUCUAUUUAAACAAAAAAAAAAUUACAAACAUAGCAGCAAAAGGAAACCUCUUACCUUUCUAAGACCACUUUUCUUCAAUUGUUCAAGUUUAUCAUAAAACAUUUCAUGUUACAGAACAGGUAAUUUUAAUAUCAAUGAACAUUGCUAGAAAAAAGAAGAUGGUGGAAAUUUCUUGGCAUAUAUCACUCAGAAUCUUCAAAACCGCUGCGCGGAUAAUUAUAUUGGGUAAACUUCCAUCUGGAAGAGGUUCAAUUCAAUUUUUCAGCAAAUUUAGUACUCCAUGAUCUAUAAGUUCUUGCUGGAGCUGCUUCCUAAACCAGAGGCAAUCAGCAAAAAUACAAUAUAUAUGAAUAACAAGCAAGCAAAAAGAAACCAUAUGUACGUAGAGGUAGAACCAGCUUACUUGGAGAGGACCUCAGUAAGAAGAGGUAACUUCUUGAGUUUAUUGAUAGCAGGUUUCCCUCUGCUAUUAAGUUUUGCAUCCUCCUCAGCGGUAACUUCAAGCUCUGCCAUGACAUUCUCGACUAACAGUGCAAUUUCUGCAUGACUUUUCCCAUUCUUCUUCCUUUUCUUACCCAUCUUGAAGAGUUCCUUGAUUUCCUCAUCCUCUUCACCCUCCUCUGCCUGGCAAUAUCAAAAUAAUAAGCCAAUAAAAAGAAAGAAAAAAAAAAUCGCAGUUAAGUCAAUAAAAUACGAGUUUGAUAAAAGUAAACGGAAACUUAGAUCAGAUUCAGCUGGAUAAUUUUUCAUACUUUGACAAGUUAAGGAAACAAUAUAUCGAACAAUUUGAGAACAUCAAUUAGUAAAAGACAAAAUAUUGAAGCAGGAUAAAUGAAGGUAAGCACUCAAAUUAAAAUGACAUACUUGAAUCAGAAUUCAGGAAACUACACUAUGAAAGAAUUGGGAAGACAACAUCAGAGAUCUUCUGCAUUAUUCUUAAACUUUUGAACGAUUUUUUGCACUUUCAGAGAUUUUGUGACAUCCCUAAAGAUGAAAUCAUAAUGAAACAAGAAUCCAGAAGAAAAAAUAUUUAUUAAAGAAUGCAAAGUUAAAACUACAAUAGCAAAUGCAGACUAAUUCCCAGGAUCAAUGACAAAUGCCUUACGUUUCAGUCAGCUUGGCCCAAUCACUCUGGUUUAACAAUCUCCUUGGAUUGCUUUCUCGGCGAGCGGCGGAAAGGGGACGAGCGUCGUGGAGAAGAACGCUGUGUCCGGGAGGAGCGUCGCGUCACGAGGGGUGGCAGCAUUGGCGUGGGCGGCGUGGGAGAGGAGAUGGCGCAACGCAUACAAAAAACAAUAAAACUCGUAUUCAAUAUCCACUUCGCAUCAGAAGUAAUUAAAUAGCAGCUUAACUAUAGCAAAAAAUAAUAAUAAAAUCCCUUAUUUUCCAUAAUUUGCUAUGCUGAAAAUAAAUUACAAAAAGAAUUUUAAACUUGAAAAUAAAUCAAUAAUUUGCUAUAUUGAUGAACCAUCAAGGAGUUCCGAUUUGAUGAUACGGUAAGAAAUAAAUGAGCCAUAGAUCUUCAUAUGAGAUCUUGAGUUUCAGUUUAAUUUUAUUGAAUUCAUUUUUUACAAUAUCUCGGUUCAGUUAGAUUAAUUUUAUUUAAAAUAAAAAUUUAAUAAAAUUAUAUAUGAAUGAAAAUAUUUUAUAAAUAGAAAAGAUAAAUCCUAAAAAAAAAAUUAGCAAGUGUUAUUUUCUAAAUAAACAUACUAAUUUAUGUAUCAAAAUGGUUUGUGCAUUAUCAUUUAAUUACAUAAUGUCAACAAAGUAUUAUAUAAUUUUACAUAAAAAGUGAAAUUUAUUUCCUAUUUAGAGUAUUUUACGUUUCAGUUUAAAUAUAAAAAAUAUUAUUAAGAGAAUUAUGGACAAAAAUUAUUUAUUAUACAAAAUCACCACUGAAAUUGAAGUUCCAAAAUCUGAAAUCCAAAUUUUUAACUACCAAAAUCGAAAAUUCAGAAUCCAAAAAAUAUAAAAAUAGAUAAAAAUUCAAAAGAAGUAAAACACAUAGUACUUGUCUCGAAAGGAUUCUAAGAUUCUAAUCCUCAUUAGGAUGGGACCAACCAGUAUAGCAAGUCCUAUUCAAACUCUGUUCUCCAAAUGACCCUAUUUCUUAUUUGGUAUGAAUGAUUUUGCAAGAAAAGAAUUCAAAUCAAUUAUUACAAAAUUAUUCAUGAUUUCAUUUUUAUACAUAAUAAAAGUUUUUGAAGUUAAAAAAUUUUAAAUCAUUUUAUUUUAAUAAAAAAAUUUUUUAAAAAAAUUAAAUUAAAUUAAAUUAAAAUUUUCAAAAAUUCUUCCAGACCGAGAAGUAAGAAUAUAUCUUUCAACAACUAUAUAUCUUUCAAUAACUAUAUGUAAGAGCAAAUAUACAUAUCAUCUUGUUAUUCACUUUAUCACUAAAUACACUCUUAAACUCAUUAUUGAGUUAAGAGUCGGAUGUUUUGCCCAUUAAAUACUCUACUUAUUUUGCUGAUCUAAAUCCGAUCAAGGAGCUAGUACAAUAUCAAUUUCCAUAUUUUUGCAUAAAUUUAAAUAAAUCUCAAAAGAAUAGAGCUAAGAGAGUAAUUAAACUAAGUAAACUUAAAUAAUAUAGAUUGUUUUUCUUUCACUAAAUUCAGCAAACUUGAGACAUUUCCAAACAAAUAAUAUUGGGAAUUUCAGAAAACUUCUUUUCAGCAUCCUUUGCUUACAAUUCUUGCACUUCUCCAUGUCCCUAUCCAGGAGCUGCUGCAAACAAAUCAAGAUCCCUAUAAUUUCAUCCUGCUUUUUGGAAAAGUGAAUGAAACUUUUUCCUCCACCUUUCAUCUUUUUCUUUCUGCCUCACCACAUUCGACCACGGUAUCAAUAAGAUCUUUUUUAGUUAUUUUUUAAAAAAAAUCAAAUUUUUAUUUCAAUAUUAUUAAAAUUUAAUUAUUGAAUGUAUAGAAUGGAAAUUAUUUCUAAGACUGCUGAAACAAGUAUACUAAGGAAAUAAAAUAAAAGUAGCUCGAAACAAAAUAAUUUUCUGAUAUAAAUUUAAUGCUGAAAAAAAAAUAUUUUACAUUGUUUAAGAUAUAAUGCAAAAUAUGAUUUUUCUAAUUUAUAAUAUUAUGCAAUUUUUAGAAUAUUAUUAACAUUAUUUUUAUUUUAAUUUCUACUUGAAUAUAUGAAUAAAAAUAGUAAAUUAGAAAUUUAAUUAAAAUUUAGAAAAUUAUUUUAUAAUGUCUAAAAUUUUAAAAUUCUUCAUAGAUGAAGUAAGAAAAUUUUUUAAUAAAAAUUUCUAUAUAAUAUUACAUUUUAUUAGCUGAAAUUUAAAGAAAAAAAAAAAAUCAAAGAGCUCGAAUUCAAGAAAUCUGGUUGAAGAAGAAAUGGCUAGAAUGCAGCAGCACCAAAGAAGAAAAAUCCAAAGCCUAAUGAACUUUCAAUCAAAACCUAAUACAGAAAUAUUGCACUGAUUCUUCUGAAAAGAAAUUAUCCAUUGUCUCAAAGCAUCCUCCAGGAAAAAAAUCUAGAAACAUCGAGCUCGUAGACUCAUCAUAUUUUUCAUCCGGCAUCAAUAUGGACUCAAGAAUCAAAAGACCCACUUUUGCCAAUGGCUGAGCUGCAGAAACCAAAGAACUCUUCCAUGUAUUUAUGCCCAAGUUCUGACAUAUUGUCUUUCUUUGGCAAUCGAUGAUUGACAGAGAAGAAAAGGAUAUAUUAUUUUCAUAAUUCUUCCAUGUACUCAACUCAAGAUCAUCUUUUAAUUGUAAAAGAAAUUAAACAAGCAGAAGAAGGUGAGGAUAUCACUGAAACCAUGUGAAAACAAACACUAAUUAGCCAUUUCACAAACCAUAAUGAAAAAACUUCAUAUGUAGCAGAACGUAGAAAACGACUGAUCACCCAACAACACACUCAAAUGACAAAACCUAACCCUAUAUAUAUAUAUAAGAGGAAAGUACACAGAGUACUUUCUGUUCUUUUAGGGCAUGCAUGCAUUAUUAAGUUAUAUAUAUUCCCUUAUCUAUAGGGCAUGGAAAACAAAAGGACAAAUGAUUAUUAAUUAAUACCAACCAAACAUGGUGUAGUGAUCACCUAGCAGCUGCUCGUGCUUAUCUCACUCUAAUCUUGUACUGAGCUCCAGUAGCUUGGUCUAUCUCCUUAUAGAAAGUGAUAGUUGUACCAGCUGCUAGAUUCCAAUGACCAGCAAAUUCAAGCCAGCCCUUAUUAAACACAGGCUUUGGAAGCUGCUGGUUUCCACUUUUGGUGAAGCAAACAAACUUCCAAGGAUUCCCUUGCAUAUCCGCCACCAGAAUCUCCAUCCUCUGCCCAGUAAUUUGGAGUUCUGCUAGAACAUCAUCACAACGAUCAUGAGGUACCUCCAGACCUCUGUUAAUAUCAACGCUGGUGAGUAUCUUUGAGAAGAUCUCCAUAGCUACUUUAGAGAAUGUUUAGCUUA